UGUGUGCCUCCAGCCACUGUAAGCUCCACAAGGAUCAGAAUCUACGUGUAUUUUGCCCUUGAUCUCCAGGGCCUAGAACAGUCCUGGAACAUAGAAGCCACUCUGUAAUAUUUAUUGAACAAAUAAACAAAUAAAUAGGCCUGGGCUAGCUACUACCUAAGAUCUUGCUAAUUGUAUGAGUUGAGUGUUCUUAGGUUUGUUUGUGAAAAGGAAUUAUCUUUUUGUGCUGUUCUGUUUUGGAUUUGCAUUUUCGCCACAGACAGAAUAGAUAAAGGGUCGAACUUUGCAGUCAAAUGACCCAUGUUUGAAUCCUGGCUCUUUUGUUGUAUGAUUUUUACUUUCAUUUUUUAACUGAGAAUAAUAAAACUUCCCAUUGUUGUAAAGAUUAGAGACAACUUAGUACAGCAUUUCACACAUGGUAAGGGCUCAGUGAAUGGAAGUUUUGUUUUUGUUUUUUGGGGGAUUUUUUUCAUUUUUUUUUUUUUUACUUCUGGGACACCUGUGUAACAAAUUUUCAGAUUUCUCUAUUGCACGAAUUUAUUUGUUCUUAUCGCAGCUGCCAUAUUCCUCUGGAUUAACUCUUAGUGCAGCCCUCAAGUGAACCACUCCUUCACUUAGAACCACAGCCUCCUCUGCACCUACCACAGGCAAGGCAGCCACCCACCCAGCUGUCACAUAACCCAGCAGUUACCUUCCUGGGCAUUUAUCCCAGAGAGAUGGAAGCAUGUUCACAAAUAUUCAUUGUAACUUCAUUCAUUGUAGCCAAAAACUGGAAACAACCCAGAUGUCCUUCAGUGGGAGAGUGGCUACACAAACUGGAGUCCAUCAUACCAUGAAACACUACUCAGUAGUAAAAAGAAACACUACUUGGAUGAAUCUCCAGAGAAUUAUGCUGAAUAAAGAAAAGCCAAUCCCAAAAGGGGGAAGCUGUUCCGGUGAAGGAGGGAAGGAAUCAGAGACCAGACCUCUUCACUCUCCCUCUCAUAGCAGCCCCUGCAGUGGCACUCCAGGGUUCUGAGCUCACGGUGUGAGCUGGCAGAGACGGAAUACCCAGGAGCUGAUGAUAGAAUCAUCCUAGAGAACAGGACUCAGCUGUUUGUUAGUUCCCUAAAUGUAGUCUCUUCUUUCCUGCUACAGUGCUGUGAACUGAAUGCGUUCCCCCAGAAUUCAUACGUGGAAACCCCAGCCCCCAUUGUGAUGGUGCUUGAAGAUGGAGCCUGUGAGAGGGAAUUAGGGUUAGAUGAGGUCAGGAGGGUGGGGCCCUUACAAAAAGAGGAAAAGACAGGAGAUCUCUCUCUCUGCCACAUGAGGGCAUAGCAAGAAAGCAGCCAUCUGUAAACCAAAAAGAGAGUCCUCACCAGACACCAAGUCUGCCUGACACCUUGAUCUUGGACCUCCCAGCCUCCAGAACUGUGAGAAACAGAUGUUGUUUAAGCCACCCAGUCUUUGGUGUCUUGUUACAGCAGGCCAGGCUGACUGAGACACCUAAUCUAGAAGCACCAGCAUCUCCUUACAACAACUACAGUAGCUUUCUGCUAGUUUCUCCACAUGUUGUUUGACAGUUCUUCCUUCAACCAGUGAUAUUCUUCUCAAAAAUAAAGAAUGAUUAUGUCUCCCACCUGA